GAUGAAGAACGUAGCGAAAUGCGAUAAGUAAUGUGAAUUGCAGAAUUCCGUGAAUCAUCGAAUCUUUGAACGCACAUUGCGCCCCCUGGUAUUCCGGGGGGCAUGCCUGUCCGAGCGUCAUUGCAACCCUCAAGCGCGGCUUGUGUGUUGGGCUUCGUCCCCCCGUGGACGUGCCCGAAAGGCAGUGGCGGCGUCCCGAAUGGUGCCCGAGCGUAUGGGAACUCUCUUCCGCUCGAACCGGCCCAUUCGGCGCUGGUCGAACCCCAAUUUUUUUUUUACCGGUUGACCUCGGAUCAGGUAGGGAUACCCGCUGAACUUAAGCAUAUCAAUAAGCGGAGGA
rnacentral:misc_RNA from 1 species